UCCAUUUUUAAUUAAUCAUGCAACCCUAUACUGUACAAUUUGAACGUUUGAGGUGUUUUUUUAAGCAACUAUUACAUAAAUACAUACAAACAAACACAGCAUGGAUUGUUUAUAAGCUAGGACCAAUCAAGGGCAGUUUCAGCAUUAGGGUGACAGGGCGACACAUCACCAAAGUGUGAAAGGGAGGGAUUUUUUCUAUCACAUUCAAUCACAGCGGUCACUUUUCUAGACUGUUUGUUCUGCCUCUGGAUAUAUAGUCCAAUCUUUAUAAAACAAGAAGCACAAAAGGGCUGUGCUUAAAAAUAUAAACCAUUACAGCAAACCAGGAAGGAACUUGAAACAUGAGUCAGUUCUGAGUGUGGCUCAACCUGCUGUUCACAGACUGGUGAUUAAACACUUCCACAGGAGAGAGAUGGACAGACAGAGCGAGAGAGCGGGCCUUAAACUGAGCUUUAGUGGCCAUUGUCAUAAUUACCAGAAUUACAAUUAAAAACAGUUCACGUCUUUGUCAACCUUGGGAUUGCUAGUUGGAAAAUACCAAUUAUGAAACCUCAGUCUUGUGACGUAAUACAUAGUGUCCAAAUGGCCACAGCCUCAACAGUUAUAAGCAGUAAGGAGGAACACAUUUGCUUCAUAUGCCAUUUUUAUUGUAGCUGAUGCUGAUGAAGUCAAAGUCAUUUUUGUUGACCUUACCUAUUUGGCACGUAACUCGCCCCUGUGCUACAGACGUAAAAGAUACAUCAACUUUUAUACUGGCAGUCGAUCCCUGCUUUAUUUUUGGUACAGGCAGGAUUUAGACCUCUAACAGUCUUUGUACAAACCUGGAGUCUUGUUAAUGUGUGCCAAAAUGUACAUUUUGACACUAAAUUGAAGGACCUUGAACCACCUGUAUUUGUACACAUUUGGCUUAUCAGAUCUCAUCACAAUCAAGCCAAGUAUAAGAACACAAGCCGUUCUCUAAAAUACAGGCCUGGGACAAACAUUCUCUGUACACAGUGUACCAUCUAUCAAGCAAACCCAAACAACACUAGAGGCGUAGAGAUUUGAGGAAGAAAUCAGUAGAGGGAGAUCUGUAGUCAGUAAAGUGAGAGGCAAAGAGGAAGAAGCCAGGAAACAAUUAGGGAAACCAAAAAAAGAUCUACACAUUCCCAGAACUCAAAAAACCUUGGCUUGAUGGACAGCCGGACACAAGGCCUUAACGUUACACCUGAUGAGGAUGUUUCUCCCUCCCCGGGCCCAACAUCAACAGACAGUGUUGCCAGAUUGGAAAUGUCCAAGUAUCGGACCAGAAGUUCAAAAUUAUCGUAUUUGGAAGAAAAUUAUUACAUUUAACAAUUAACAACAUUUUGACACGACCUGCAAAUUACCACUAGGAGUAUGGUUGGACGGAAGCAGUGCGACAAAAAUACUAUCCCAUAAUUUUGCACAGUAAUCUGACAAUAAAUGUGGCACACCCAGAUUUUCAUAUGCACACCCAGAGUCUCUUUUCUGGCUACACUACUGGAGACAAGAAAGGUGAAGGGCUAAGGGGUAGAAUUGGGAUUGGGCCUAAGUGUCGGUUACGUUCAAUAAUAAAAAAAAACAAAAAACAACAACACAUGGCUUGUUUACAAGUCCAUUUAAAGUUUCAUUUUUUGAACAGUUGUUUGAAAUGGAUUGAAUCAUUAUUUAAAAUAAUCUUGGAGAUUUUUUAAUUGCCUAAAUCAUAAAUGCAGCCGGGGUUGAAGCCUGCAGUGAUCUUUUGUUAUGGCAGACGUCCCCUCUGCUUGUAUAUUUUUUCGAGAAUGUUGCACUCAUGUUGCUGUUUGUUAUUCUGCACAAAACUUCAUGCCAAUAAAUAAGAAACAUUGCUGA